rnacentral:lncRNA from 1 species
CCAGACUUUUUUCCUUGUUGACCGUAUCCGUAGUUCUUUAGCAUCUGUCUUUCGGACAUUUACCACAUGGUUAUGCUCGAUCUGUGUUUUGACAAUAGAUCCGUGGUAAUUCUGGCUUUACACGAUUUUAUGGUACAUUAGUAAGAUAUGUAGUUAUGUUUGAGAACACUGACCUUCCGAUAUGUAUGGCCCUCGAUGAUUAAAGAAUUUACUUCUCGGUCCGUUUCAAUGUGCAAUAUGACCAUCAAGUUACAACGAAGUUCCAGAACAAUAUGAAUCAAAAUUAACUUAAACAUGGAUGAAAAACAAUUAUAACCAGAUUUUACCAAUGGUAUAGCACAGUACAUGUACAAGUUUUAACUUACCUGUAAAUCUAAUUAAGAGCAAAUAUAAAAUCGGCGCAAAUGAAAAAAUGAAAUCGGCGCAAAUGAAAGAAUGAAAAUUUUCAAAAUCGGCG